AAAUCCAUUACCGACAAAAUGCCAUUGUGCUGGGCUGCUGGCCCUUGGCCGAGGGGCCCGCUAAGGCCAGUUCGUUGAACAGCUCUUGCGCAUUUCGUCGAACAGCUCGUCGGCGAGGCGCCCCACACGGCGUGGAUCGCCCCCAGGCGGGGAGCCCCAGCUGCCGGUGCGCUGAGUGAAUUGCAGUGAACUUUACCUGUCCCAAUGCAUAUGGCAAAGGCGAGUACAUGUGAGCUGCCCUUUCCCUGUAAAAGACUGUCCGCUCAACUGAUACAACUGGCUGAACUGAACCAGAAUUCUGUACUCCCAUGAAAAUAACCGAGGCAUACAUGGAGCCCAUAGCAUUGAACAAAUCCUGUUGAUUAUCCCUGCAAGAGUACAAUAGCUUCAGUCUACUGCAUGCAAGCAAAACACUGUGUGAGGAAGGUCUGCGAGUAUUCCGUUGGAAAGGAUAGGUCAGUUGAACCUUCAGGAGGUGUGCUUAACUCCUUUAUUAAAGUUCUGUUCCUCCUGAAAAUGCAAGAACAUGACAAUAUUAAUGAUGGGCUGAGACAUUGUUUGGCAACGAACUAUCUUUUCGUUGAAUAGAAAAUAUCAGUUCCAAAAUAGAAAAUUGUGUUAAAGUACUCAACUUUUGAAAGGGGAUAUCUAUGGUUUUAGAUUUAUUUAUGCAAAUAUUAUUUGAAACUAGGGAAAACACAAAUAUUCAGCUACAGGGAAUGUGCACCCGGUACCCUAACCCUUAGUGGUAUCAAAAUGGGUGCAUAUGGCUCUAUGAAGUAAAAUCCAAACUCUUGAAAAAGGCCUUGUACUUUGAAGUUUAAGGAUAUGCACCCUUCAAAUACUGUUUGUAAAUAAUAAAUAAGCCAUUUUUAGCCUCUUUACUAUUUUCAAAUUUGAGAUUUCAGAACCUGAAUCAAUGUUAGAUAGGUCUGUACUUCUUCAGUCCUCAAUUAGAUAAUUAAACUAUGAACCACAACACAUAUGCACAUACCUAUAUAAUUCUGAACUCUUGUAUACUUCACUAAAGUUAACACCAGUUAUUUGUUCUUGCAUUGUACUAGUCACUUCUAGCAUCCAUGUUGAAGGGUUGUAGCCAUCUUUUAUGCUGCUGACACCUUCAAUAGCCUUGGUAGAAUCAACGCAAACCAGUUAGAUAACAUGUUACUUCAGUGCAAAACCAUAAAUUGGUGGGAAAAUAAAAUAGUUAAUUUGCUCUUGCUCACCUCAAAAUAUUUUAUGAGUUCACAUGAAUGGCGGCCUAAUGGACCUACAUAAAUCUCUUCACCUCCACGUUUCAUUAGGAAGAGCUGCAAAGGUGCACAGAGCCAUUGCCCAUUAGAUGUUAAAGUAUAGAAACAAUGCAAAUUCUGGAAAAAGAAACUAUGUUUCGUAUAGUUUUCUUCACCUCGUCAAAAGAUUCAAAGAUAUCGAUGCUUGGUUGGUGAAUGGUACAAACAACUGUUCUUCCUGUGUCCACAGUAUUCCUGAUUGCCCUCAUGACAAUGGCUGCUGCUCGUGCAUCAAGUCCAGAUGUCGGUUCAUCCAUGAAAAUGAUAGAAGGGUUAGCAACCAGCUCAACUGCUAUUGUUAGCCUCUUCCUUUGCUCUGUUGAUAAUCCACUCACACCCGGCAAUCCCACCAAUGCAUCUUUUAAGGGUAAAAGUUCCACAAGCUCCAUAACCUCAUCAAUAAACAUCUGCCCAUAGCAAACCAGGUUUCAUGUAUCAGUACAUAGUGGGACGCUGACUAAAGCAAUUAUUACUCAAAAUAAACUGUAAAUAUGACUGGCGUGUCAUGUCAUAUAUCUAUCUCAAAACUUAUCUAUGAACUCUAGUAUUGUCAAGAUCUCUAUCACUGUAUACCAUUUUAGAUCAGCCGGCAAAUUUAACCUUCUCAUUCUAAUCAUGUUUCAUGUAAUUUUUAAAUAUAUGCACUUAUAUUAUUAUAUUUUGCUGAAAAGAGGUGAUGUCUUGAAUCUUCAACAAACCUUUCUUGUUGAGGAAUCAACAUCAGCAGGUAAUCUGAGCCAUGCAGAGAAUGCAAGGGACUCGUAGACGGUAACAUUUGGUGAAUGGAUGUCAUUCUGCUCACAAUAUCCUGAUACACGAGCAAAAGUUUCUUGCUUCUUUGGGUAACCUGAUAUGGUAAUGUUGCCCUCAAUGUAUCCGCUGGUCUUCCUCCCAGCCAACACAUCCAUCAGCGUUGUCUUGCCAGCACCACUGACACCCAUUAGAGCAGUAAGUACUCCUGGCCUAAAUGAACCACUUAUACCCUUUAAUAGUUGCAACCGGGUCUCUUUGACACCUUGUGCUCUGAUUUCCUACAUGUUUUGUUGGAUAGAUAAAUUAUUAUAAAUGAAAAUUUUGCUCUUAGAUAGUAUGAGAAUAUAAGGGAAUCUGUAAUAAUAAUUGUAUUUCUAAAAUUUCCUUAAAAAAUACCUCUGGCAUGUCGACACUGUAUCUUAUAUCUUCAAAAGUGAUGGAGAGAGGUACAAAAGGGAGGACCAUUCCUUUGUUGACGGGUCUAGAAUUUACUGUUGUAUGGUUGGAAUCUGCUUCACCAUUGCUCCCAUCCACAGUACCUAAUAGACAUCACAUACUCAUGAUCAUCAUAAAAUUGCACAUAAAUAUAUUCUUUUGUCAUGUUGAUUGGUGAAGGUGAAACUAUAAUUACUUGUUGUUACUGUAUUGCUGGGAACCCUUCCUCUUGACGAUGCUUCUAAAACUUCACCAGUUAGAUUUGCUUGUUUGAUCUUCAAUGUCUCCUCAGAAAUUGUCGGCUGAUUGCUAUCAAAUGCUGCAGGUAGCAUAAUUUGUAAGAUUUAAUUUGAUCUUUGUCUGUGCCAUAUUUAUUUUAAAUCUAAGUGCAAUAUAAUUUUUUACUCACGCUUGAGGAAUGUGAGGCAGACAGUGUAGAGGAUAUUGAAUAGCAGCACAUAUCCAAGCAAGGCACCCACACCAAUCCAGUACCAUUUUGCCUCAGGAAAAAGACCACGAGAUUCCAGAACAAGCUUUCCGAGUGGUUCUGUAGAACCAGGGAGUAUCUGUUACAUAGAAGUAUCUGUAAGCUUUAUCGAUUAGCCAGACUUAUGAAAGUUAUACUUUUCUGAAAAUAGCUUUUACCUUAUUCCAGCUGUCACCCAGGAAUUCAUUUACUGAUAUGGCAUUCUGUGCAUACAUCAGGGGUGAUAUCCAGUACCCCCAGAUCCACCAUUUCUUCACAUUCUCUGUUAAAUCAAAGGAGUAGUUUAAUCCGUGACUUCAUAUAGAAGUAAAGUACCACAACCACAUCAGAUGCGCAGCUAAUAACUGAAAUUAGGCAACUCAAACCAAUUUUUUGUAUAUGGAAACACUAUAUUUUGAGUUAGCUAUUUUUGCAUACCUCUUGCCAGGAGAAAUCCACCCAAAAGCAUAAAAAUCAGAAUGCCGAAUGAACCAAGGGUGCUUGCAACGACCUGAUGCCUUGCAAGCCCAGCAAUGAAACGGAACAACCCAGAUGAUGCCUCAUUCAUUAGUAAGAGGAGCAGGAACUGUCUGAAAAGUCUGCAGCAUUGUGUUUUUUUAAAAUUUGGUUAGCUUCUGUAAUACACUCAUAACAUGCUGAUCUAGUAUAGAAAUAUUGGUUUAGUUACCUUUCUACAUUGGGAUCAAAUCCAAUGACAUAAUAUGUUAUGAAGACCCAAAUUGUUACAUUAAGCAAGGAGAGGGGGGUCUUAAUGAUCCAUGAUGGCAAGGAGUAUGUCCAAGCAGGAUAGAAGAGAAGAUCCCUUUGCUUGAAAAAAACUGGGAGCUUUGCAAUAGUCAGGCCAAUUUCUGCCAAUCCAUUGAACAUGAUCAUCAGGAUCCCAAAGAACAGAGCACCCAUGUAUAUCCUUCCAUUUGUUAGUGAGUCAUGAUGCAUAUUGGUUCGGAGGAACACCGUCAUUGCAAUGAUUGCCAUGAGUGUUAACUGAACAAUAGAUAAAGUAACAAAAAAGAGACAUUAUUUAGUUUAUGCUUUACUGAGUAAAAACAAGGUUAUUAUUCAACUUGUUUUGAAGAUUAUUGAAGAUGAAGCUGAUAUAAUUCGAAUUUGAAAAGCUUCAGUUUUUGAGAAUCACCUGAACUGCCUUGAAUAUGUACACAAAUGAGUUUCUUUUCAUUAACAAUAUCUCUCUGUUGAUAUUUGCUUUAAGUAGCUCUUUCAUGCUGGCACCAUAUUUUGAUGUUUUAAGUGCAGCAGGAUGGCUCGUGCUCUUGUCAAAUGGGACUGCCAACUCAUUUCGUAUAGCCUCGCCAAUGUGGAAAGAUUGAAAUGCAUCUGCAAACUCCUUCACAGGAACAUAUCGGAAAAGAUCGAUACAGAACUGUAAUGGAAGUAUAGAACUCACUUCUUGCAAGAAGUCGGCUACACCUUUCCGCUGCGGGCAUUUGAAGCCAACCGAUUCAAAGAACUGGAGCACAUGUUCACGAGGGCCACUGUAGACAACCUGACCGUCUGAGAGGAGAAUUAUAUCAUCAAACAGUUCAUAUGUCUCUGGUGCAGGUUGUAACAAAGCAAUAACUGCUGUUCCGCCAACAAUGUGAAUGGUUUGCCGGAUAGAGUUCACAAUCUGAAAGGUUGUUGAGCUAUCAAGUCCUGUUGAUAUCUCAUCCAUGAAAAGGGCUCGUCCUGGGGUGACAAGCAUUUCAGCUGCACGACCAAUUUCCGGUGUAGAUGAGUUAGAUCAUAGAGGAUUAUUAAUAUAGAAAUUGACCGUCUCACGAACCGUCAACUCCCCCAUGUGCAGAUCAUGUUGGCUGACAUAUGCAGCUGAUCUCCGGGCCUCAAACUCGUCCAUUGUGUGCCCGUUGUAAGUUAUGUUCCCUGUUACCUUUUGCAGUUGCAGUAUAUCAUCAUAUUAGUAGUACUCUCAAUGUACAUUCAUGACAAGAGAUAGUGCCAUGCAAACGCAAAGCAAGUACCUUGAGACUUGAAGGGAGUGUUCCAGCCAAGGCCAAAAGCAGCGAUGUUUUGCCAGCACCAGGAGGACCCAAUAGCAAGGUCAUUCUGAAAAAUAGCAGGGAUAAGACGAAAUACUCCAGGGAGAUGAUUCGGUGAUCGGUAAUAUGACGUUGACGGAAGUUACCUGUGUGGCUUGAUGAUGCCACUGACAUUGUGAAGAAUCGAUAUUUUCUGCUUCCUACUUGGUGUUAAGUGAAGAACAUUGGCGAUGCCCUGUUUGGUGAUGGUUACCAACAUGUCAGGCCACAGAAAAGAGGGUACCACAAGGGCAAAUCAUGCCAUCACAAAAGGGCGUGAAUGAGAUGUGACGGAACUUAGUGCA